rnacentral:lncRNA from 13 species
GAGCAAGCGUCCUGCAAUCCUUUCUAACUCUGACAAAUACAGCUUAAAACCCAGCCAGCCAGCCACUAGUUCCUGGUGUGGUCCCUGAGACCAGAAGAAUCAGCGUCACCUGAAGACAUCUUCAAAAUGCAGAUUCUUAGGUUCUGUGGAAUCAAUAAUCUGGGGGUGGGCCCAAUGACUCAUGUUCAACAGGCUCUCUGGGUGACUCUGACACACACCCUAGUUUGAGAACCACUGGUCUAGUGCAACCCCCUUGCCUUACAGAUGAGGAGUUGAAGCCCAGAGAGAGGCGUGCCUUACCCAAGGUCACAGAAAGUGCGUCACUGUCAGGUUGUGACUCUGGGCCAGACUGCCUAUCUGUGGAUGUCUGUGUGGUGAAGCCAUGGAUUUCUUCACUUGCUCUUCUCCUCGGCUGGUGCAAAUACUCAGGGAUCAGGGAUCCAGAAGCUAGAAGGCAGCCCCUGUUGACCUGCGUAAACCUCACAACUGGCGUGAUCCAUCAGACGGCCUGUCACUGCUGCUCAGUCCAGACACUGAGCAAGCACCUUGGGUGAGAAGAGCUCCAUAGAGGGCACUAAAGAAAGAUUAUUGAGUGGACGGUUCAUGAACCCACUGGAAAAAAAGAAGCGAUCACUAGGAAGCAUCUUGGGUUCACCAAGUACAAAUCUGGCCACAACAAACACCCUUCUCCGUCCACUAGGUUUUCUAGACUGGCAGAUGUGCAGGGCACCGUGGACAUGGCAUAUCUGGAUUUCAGCAAGGUGUUUUGUAAGGAAUUUGAUGUAAUCCUUGGGGACGAGAUGGAGAAUUGUGGAUUAGACAGUAAUAGAGUUAGAUGUAUUAGCAGACCAAGAGCAAUGUGAGCCAACAGUAGGGUGAGGCUGCCAGGAAAGCAAAUGCAAUCUUGGACUAUAUUAAUUGAAGCACAGAGCGCAGAAGAGGGGAGAUAAUGGCAUGACCCUCCUGCUUGGCAGUGGUCAGGACCACAUCUGGAGCCUUGCAUUUCAUUCUGGGAGCCACAAUUGUGCAAGGACAUUGACGAAUGGGAUGGCAUUCGGAGGAGGGGGCCCGGGAUGCCCCAAGGUCUUGCUGCCAUGCCAGAUGAGGAGUGGUUGAGGGAGCUUGGGACCUUAAACUGGAAAAGAGGACAUGUGAGUGGGUCCUGACAGUUGUUUUCAAACAUCUAAACGUCUUCCAUGGACAACUGAGUGGGUAUAUUGAAUGCAGUGUUAGAAACUCAACAUUCGACAGCCAGGCGGAUUUUGGUUUGGUCUAUAGUACCCCAACAAGAAGAGGGAGGCUCUGAGCCCUGCAAGAGUCCUGGAGGAAGAACUCAGUGUGGGCUUGGCCGGAUGCAUCCUGUUCUUCACUCUUCUGAAUUACCAGAAAUAAACCAAUAAACCU